ACUGUGAAUAAAAAUCAUUUUCAUAUGCUUGACUUUAUCCCUACGGAUGAGAACCUACUUCAUCUGAUAAGUGUUGCAUGUGACUUUCCUGAAGCUCUAAUACAUUUCUUAUAAAGUGCCAUGAGGACUGACAUCUUGAUCUCUCUCUAGAAAACUGUGCCGGCUGGCACAAGUGCAACUAAACCUGCAGUAUCACCUAAGGACACGAGUGAGGACACGAGUGAGGACACUGCUGCCCGUCCUCCUUCAAUUCCAUAUGUGACCACAACUUCUGCACAGAAAACUGUGCCGGCUGGCGCAAGUGCAGCUAAACCUGGACUAUCACCUGAGGACACGAGUGAGGACACGAGUGAGGACACUGCUGCCCCUCCUCCUUCAAUUCCAUAUGUGACCACAACUCCUGCACAGAAAACUGUGCCGGCUGGCACAGGUGCAGCUAAACCUGCAGUAUCACCUGAGGACACGAGUGAGGACACUGCUGCCCCUCCUCCUUCAAUUCCAUGUGUGACCACAGCUCCUGCACAG